rnacentral:lncRNA from 1 species
GAACUAAAAAUACCCGAACCCGACCCGAAGUACAGAAAUACCCAAACGGGUUCUACACCUCUAUACCGAAAUAUCCGAAAAUCCGAAAUACCUGACCCGAACCCGAACGGGUACCCGAACGUCCACCCCUAGUGAUAAACAUGAAAUUUCCCCCAUUAUACUAUAUGUGUCAUAAUAAUGAACAUAACUAUAGACAAUUUGCAAGUAAUUAACAAUUAUGCUUGAAAAUUCAAUUUCAUCAAUAAACAUCACCUAAAUGAAAAGUUAAACAUU